rnacentral:lncRNA from 1 species
AACUUCUGGAUCAUAUACUGUUUACAUUUGUGAGGGGUGGAUUCUUCUUUCGAGCCAAUUAAGUAAACGGCCUAAAUAUAGAUUAAGGAGACGAUAUUGCUAUAAUAUUUUAUAUUUUGAAGAAUUGGUUGUGUUCAUCCUUCUCAUACUCAGCAUUUGUUUCUUCUCGGUUGCGUUUGCAUUUCGUGAUAUAGUUACAUUUCAUGCAGGUUGAAGAAUGGAAUCUCCAAGUUUUGUGUUUCAAAAAACCGAAGAAGGAAAAGGAGUCAAGCAGAUAUUUUUAUCUACUUAAGAUAUUAGAAAACUCUGUAAUUUUUUCUAACUUUUAUAACUCUAUCCAUUUUGAGAGCAAAUAUUUAGAGCAUUUAUUAUUUUGGAAGAAGAUCAAAGGACAAAGUAAGAGAAGAAGCAAAAGAGGAAACUUGCAUCAAUCUAUGGAGAAUGUAGAAGAAAGAAGAGCAUCAUUGACACUUAAGCAUGCAUAUCUAAGUACUCUAUUUCAAGUAUUUUUACUGACUGAGUGUGACAUGGAGAAGGAAUUAUAAAUAUUAAUAAAUACAAUAAUGAUUUAUUUGUGGAAAAAUAUUUUAUGUGUAGAAUAUUUUAAUAUUAAUCAUUAAA